rnacentral:rRNA from 1 species
AGAGUUUGAUCCUGGCUCAGGAUGAACGCUGGCGGCGUGCUUAACACAUGCAAGUCGAACGAAACACCUUAUUUGAUUUUCUUCGGAACUGAAGAUUUGGUGAUUGAGUGGCGGACGGGUGAGUAACGCGUGGGUAACCUACCCUGUACAGGGGGAUAACAGUCAGAAAUGACUGCUAAUACCGCAUAAGACCACAGCACCGCAUGGUGCAGGGGUAAAAACUCCGGUGGUACAGGAUGGACCCGCGUCUGAUUAGCUGGUUGGUGAGGUAACGGCUCACCAAGGCGACGAUCAGUAGCCGGCUUGAGAGAGUGAACGGCCACAUUGGGACUGAGACACGGCCCAAACUCCUACGGGAGGCAGCAGUGGGGAAUAUUGCACAAUGGGGGAAACCCUGAUGCAGCGACGCCGCGUGAGCGAUGAAGUAUUUCGGUAUGUAAAGCUCUAUCAGCAGGGAAGAAAAUGACGGUACCUGACUAAGAAGCACCGGCUAAAUACGUGCCAGCAGCCGCGGUAAUACGUAUGGUGCAAGCGUUAUCCGGAUUUACUGGGUGUAAAGGGAGCGUAGACGGAGUGGCAAGUCUGAUGUGAAAACCCGGGGCUCAACUCCGGGACUGCAUUGGAAACUGUCAUACUUGAGUGCCGGAGGGGUAAGCGGAAUUCCUAGUGUAGCGGUGAAAUGCGUAGAUAUUAGGAGGAACACCAGUGGCGAAGGCGGCUUACUGGACGGUAACUGACGUUGAGGCUCGAAAGCGUGGGGAGCAAACAGGAUUAGAUACCCUGGUAGUCCACGCCGUAAACGAUGA